CUGGCUGACAUCAGGUGAAAGUGAGGUUUAGGAGAUGGCAGAGUCACAGGAAAAACAAAAAAAACUUCGAUUCCUGAAUCUCCAAAUGGAGGAAAGCCACCCACGGACCCAGAUGGAGGAACACCCAUCCUGGCCUGUGAUGUAAGCAAGAAGUAAACUUUGAUUUUGUUUAAGGUGAGGAUGCAAAGAGAAAGUGGCUGCCUGCAAACCAGGAGGAGAGCCCUCACCAGGAACCAAUCUAGCUGACACUUUGAACUUGGACUUCAAACCUCCAGUAUUGUAAGAAAUAAAUAUGUUUUCAAAG
rnacentral:lncRNA from 10 species